UUCACUUUUUUAUAACUUUAAAUCUUCCAAAUUUCAACAAUCUCUGUUCUUCUUCACAUGAGGUGCAGGCCUUCCGUUUUUUUUUCUUUGUGGAUUUGGAUUUCUAGGUCCAAGCAGGUCUUCACGUGGCAUCAGGAAAAAACCAAGUCAUACUUAGCUUUAUAAAGGUAUCUGGAACACUUUUCUUCCUUUAGAGUUUUUAAACUCAUUGUACAAACUUUUCCUUCCUUGUGCAGAGAAACAUACAUGAAAUUGGAAUAAAAGCAGUCGCCCAUCUUGCUGUUUUUCUUCACAUUUCUCAAGCAGAAGACUUCUUCAAUUUUUCUAGAAGCAGAGAGUGCUAUAGUAUCGUCAUGUCGAGUUUGAUUGGAACUUCACGGGGUGGUUUAAACCACCCCGAAGAAAUUCAUGGGACUAACUGUAGCGGCACAAACUGCUCAUUUUUUUUCUUCUUCUUGGCGUGGACGAACUUACUGGGCAGAGAUCAUGGCAUGGCUAUCUUCCGCUGCUUGUGACCCAUGGAAAUGGGGAGGUUGUUGCAAUUGCGUCCAUCUUUGCGUUCUUGAAACCAUCGUUGGGCACGGUGGGUUGACGACGAAUGAACCGGUUUCGAAACCUCUUUGGACACCCAAGCAAUUGUUUCUUUCUUUUGGUUGGAUCCAAUCACUGCAUUUUGCUGAAAUCUUCAUUGGGUGUCACAAUGGCAGCAAAUAGAAGUGGUGGUUUCGUUGCGGUUUGUUGGGCUACAAUUUUGGGAAGACGUUGGGGAAUGGGAUAGGUUGAAGAAGCAAAGUGCUUCUUUAUUCCCUGCGAGAGACCGAGAGAUACCAAACGAAGAAAAUUUUUAAGAAUGCUGGAUUUUUACCUUUUGAAUGCUUUGUUGGUUUUCCCCUUGCUUUCUUGCUUUGUUCUUCUUUGUCGUCCGUUUUUUAACGUCGUCUCUCAAUUUCUGCAGAGUCUCUCCUCU